rnacentral:rRNA from 1 species
UACAGGGGGGGCAAGCGUUGUUCGGAAUUACUGGGCGUAAAGGGUUCGUAGGUGGCUUGCUAAGUCACACGUGAAAUCCCUCAGCUUAACUGGGGAACUGCGUGUGAAACUGGCGAGCUUGAGGGUAGGAGAGGAGUGUGGAAUUCCUGGUGUAGCGGUGAAAUGCGCAGAUAUCAGGAAGAACACCUAUGGCGAAGGCAGCACUCUGGGACGGUACUGACGCUGAGACGCGAAAGCGUGGGGAGCGAACAGG